CUUGAGAGUGGCGAACGGGUGAGUAAUAUAUCGGAACGUGCCCAGUCGUGGGGGAUAACGUAGCGAAAGUUACGCUAAUACCGCAUACGAUCUAAGGAUGAAAGCGGGGGAUCGCAAGACCUCGCGCGAUUGGAGCGGCCGAUAUCAGAUUAGGUAGUUGGUGGGGUAAAGGCUCACCAAGCCAACGAUCUGUAGCUGGUCUGAGAGGACGACCAGCCACACUGGAACUGAGACACGGUCCAGACUCC
rnacentral:rRNA from 1 species